CUCCUCACGGUCUGACUGACAAGUCAAAGUCCAACUUGACUGUGGCCACUGCCCAUAGAGGGUGAUAGGCCCGUAAGGCUGUCGGUUGACUGUGGCGACUUUUCCCUCGAGUCGGGUUGCUUGGGAGUGCAGCCCAAAGUGUGAGGUAAACUCCUCAUAAGCCUAAAUAUUACCCUGAGACCGAUAGCAAACAAGUACGGUGACGGAAGAUUGAAAAGAACUUUGAAGAGAGAGUUCAAUAGUACGUGAAACUGUGUGGUGGUAAACGGAGGGGUUCUCGAAGUUUCUGGAGGGAACUCAGCCUUGGAGUGGGGCUGUCUGGUUGUAUCUGAUCAGCAAUGACAGUGCGGCUAGUCAGGCUCUGUUCACGGGUGCAUUUCCCCUUCAGUUUACGGCAGGAACCGUUUAGUGCAGACCUAAGGCUCUGGGUGAAGUUAUAGGCCUAGCUUGUAGCCCCGGAUGUUCUGGCUUUGCGCUAGACGGGUAAUUGAGGAGACUCGUAUAGCGAGCAAUGCUCUGUUGCAGUCUCCAUCUCUCUGCCGAGUAGGUCGGUGGCCCCUCCGACCCGUCUUGAAACACGGACCAAGGAGUCUAACAUGUAUGCGAGCCAUUGAGUUGACUAAACUUAAAGGCGUAGUGAAAGCAAAGAGUAGCUUGCUGCUCGAGGGAGGAUCCGUAAGGCGCACUCCCGCGACUUCCCAUUGACCUCGCUUCAUGGGGAGUACGCAGAGCAUAAAUGUUGGGACCCGAAAGAUGGUGAACUAUGCCUGGCCAGGAUGAAGUCAGGGGAAACCCUGAUGGAGGUCCGUAGUGGUUCUGACGUGCAAAUCGAUCACCGGAGCUGGGUAUAGGGGCGAAAGACUAAUCGAACCAUCUAGUAGCUGGUUCCUGCCGAAGUUUCCCUCAGGAUAGCUGGUGCUCAUAUACGAGUUUCAUCCGGUAAAGCGAAUGAUUAGAAGCAUUGGGGGCGAAACGCCCUCAACUUAUUCUCAAACUUUAAAUGGGUGAGAAGUCUGUCUUGCUUGAGUGAAGUCAGACACUGAAUCGGAGUGCCUAGUGGGCCAUUUUUGGUAAGCAGAACUGGCGCUGUGGGAUGAACCAAACGCAGAGUUAAAGUGCCAAAGUGGAAGCUCAUCAGAUCCCACGAAAGGUGUUGGUUGCUUAAAACAGCAGGACGGUGGCCAUGGAAGUCGGAAUCCGCUAAGGAGUGUGUAACAACUCACCUGCCGAAGCAACUAGCCCUGAAAAUGGAUGGCGCUAAAGCUUCCCACUUAUACUCUGCCGUUCAGUUAGAGCUGGCCCUUGUGGUCCUGACAACUGAACGAGUAGGCAGGUCGCUCGGGUAGCGCAGAAGGCUCUGGGUGUGAACCUGGCUGGAGCUGCCCGAGGUGCAGAUCUUGGUGGUAGUAGCAAAUACUCCAGAGAGGCCCUGGAGGACCGAUGUGGAGAAGGGUUCAGUGUGAACAGCUGUUGGACACUGGUCAGUCACUCCUAAGGCUUAGGGGAAACCCUAUAAAAUUGUGUGGUGUUUUCAGUUUGACUAGACCACAACUACAGCCGAAAGGGAAUGAGGUUCUUAUUCCUCAACCUGAUAGCGGAACCGAUUCGGCCCUCGUACCGACACGGCAACGUGAAAUGAGCCUGAGACGCCCACCCGAGCUCUGGGAAGAGUUGUCUUUUCUGCAUAAGCCGCUGAGGCCCUGGAAUUCCUUCGAGGAGAGAAUGGGUUUUGGUCUUGGCAAAGAGCGCAGCAGUUCUUGCUGUGUCCAUGAGUGACGGGCGGGACCUUGAAAAUCAGGCUGAGGGUUACGGCGGAGUCGCAUCAGCGUGUACCCAUAUCCGCAGCAGGUCUCCUAGGUGAAUAGCCUCUGGUCGAUAGAAUAAUGUAGGUAAGGGAAGUCGGCAAAUUGGAUCCGUAACUUCGGGAUAAGGAUUGGCUCUGAGGGUCGGGGUGUUUGGGCUUUGAGCUGGAAGCAGGUUGGCCUACAGGUGGGCCUGGCCGAACCCUUGGGUGAAGUCGGUCCCGUUCACAGGCUCCUGUGGAUAGCCAUUGCUUUGCGGGCCCGGGCAACCGGUGUCCGUUCAAACAUCAAUCAACGACUAACUCAGAACUGGCACGGACUAGGGGAAUCCGACUGUCUAAUUAAAACAAAGCAUUGCGAUGGUCAGAGAGUGAUGUUGACGCAAUGUGAUUUCUGCCCAGUGCUCUGAAUGUCAAAGUGAAGAGGUUCGUCCAAGCGCGGGUAAACGGCGGGAGUAACUAUGACUCUCUUAAGGUAGCCAAAUGCC
rnacentral:rRNA from 1 species